rnacentral:rRNA from 1 species
GACGAACGCUGGCGGCGGGCUUAACACAUGCAAGUCGAACGGAAAGACCCUGCUUUUGUGGGGUGCUCGAGUGGCGAACGGGUGAGUAACACGUGAGUAACCUGCCCUUGACUUUGGGAUAACUUCAGGAAACUGGUGCUAAUACCGGAUAGGAGCGCCUGCUGCAUGGUGGGGGUUGGAAAGUUUCGGCGGUUGGGGAUGGACUGGCGGCUUAUCAGCUUGUUGGUGGGGUAGUGGCUUACCAAGGCUUUGACGGGUAGCCGGCCUGAGAGGGUGACCGGCCACAUUGGGACUGAGAUACGGAGCAGACUCCUACGGGAGGCAGCAGUGGGGAGUAUUGUACAAUGGGCGGAAGCCUGAUGCAGCAACGCCGCGAGCGGGAUGAAGGCCUUCGGGUUGUAAACCGCUUUAGCCUGUGACGAAGCGUGAGUGACGGUAAUGGGUAAAGAAGCACCGGCUAACUACGUG